AGGACGAACGCUGGCGGCGUGCUUAACACAUGCAAGUCGAGCGAGGCCCUCUCUUCGGAGAGGUGCCCUAGCGGCGAACGGGUGAGUAACACGUGGGCAACCUGCCCCUAGCACUGGGAUAAGCCCGGGAAACCGGGUCUAAUACCGGAUAUGACCUUCAAGGGCAUCCUCGAAGGUGUAAAGGAUUCUGGCUAGGGAUGGGCCCGCGGCCUAUCAGCUUGUUGGUGGGUAACGGCCCACCAAGGCAACGACGGGUA
rnacentral:rRNA from 1 species